GUCUAGUCUCUAAAGGGAGAAGAUCUUAUAGAUGGAGGCUACUUCAUGAGGAGUGUUCUAUAGCUAGAGAUCCUCUUUACCAUGUGCGUGGGUCAACUUUUUCCUACAUGUGAUUAUUGAUAUUCUCAAAGAUGCUUUGCUUGAUAUCAUGAAGAAAUUAUCAGAAAUAGUUUCAUUGCUUCCAAGGACCAACUCUCAUGACUGUUGUGUGCCCUGGUUCAUGAUAUCUUACUGUUUAUACUGCUCAGGGCUGAAAUAUUGCCAAGGUCCAGCCCCAGCUUUCUAGAGGAACGUAGUGACCCACCUACUCCCUAUAUCCAGGCACCUUUCUUUCUUCUAACAUUCAUCAGGACCCAACUAUUGCCAAAAGAGAUGCCUUCUCUGCACCAUCCUGGAACAGGAGAUUGAGAAACUACUGGGCAAGACCAGUCAAGGCACCAAAUCUGCUAUCCACCCACUUGAAUCUCGUAACUAAUUUAGUGACAACCCUUGUGAAAGCUUUCCCUCUGGUCCUCCCACAUCAGAACUAAGGUAGCAACAAUUAACACUAAUGAAACACAGUGAUCGAUCUGCAUUUGAAGAAUAUCGUGGAUGUCCCUCACACAUCCUACUUGACACUCUGUGUGGUACUACUGUAUCUCCAAGCAAUCUAAUUGAACAGUGGAGCUGCUGUGCCAGACCCUGUGCAAACACUGUGGCAGAAUCAUUCUUGCCCUGGAAGCUUCCUUGCUUCAGAUGUCAACUACUUAUGAAACAUGUAGCACCUCCAAAAUAACCAAAGAAAAAUGCUUUUGCAG